GACGAGGGGUCCAAGCGUUGUUCGGAAUUAUUGGGCGUAAAGGGUGCGUAGGCGGUCUGAUAAGUCAUCUGUGAAAUCUAUGGGCUCAACCCAUAGUCUGCAGGCGAAACUGUCGGGCUUGAGUAUGGGAGAGGUGAGUGGAAUUUCCGGUGUAGCGGUGAAAUGCGUAGAUAUCGGAAGGAACACCUGUGGCGAAAGCGGCUCACUGGACCAUUACUGACGCUGAUGCACGAAAGCUAGGGGAGCAAACAGG
rnacentral:rRNA from 1 species